UACGGGGGGGGCAAGCGUUGUUCGGAAUUACUGGGCGUAAAGGGCUCGUAGGCGGCCAACUAAGUCGGAUGUGAAAUCCCCAGGCUUAACCUGGGAACUGCAUCCGAUACUGGAUGGCUUGAAUCCGGGAGAGGGAUGCGGAAUUCCAGGUGUAGCGGUGAAAUGCGUAGAUAUCUGGAGGAACACCGGUGGCGAAGGCGGCAUCCUGGACCGAGCAUCGUGACUGAGGCGCGAAAGCCAGGGGAGCAAAGCGGG
rnacentral:rRNA from 1 species